rnacentral:rRNA from 1 species
GACGAACGCUGGCGGCGUGCCUAAUACAUGCAAGUAGAACGCUGAAGAGAGGAGCUUACUCUUCUUGGAUGAGUUACGAACGGGUGAGUAACGCGUAGGUAACCUGCCUUGUAGCGGGGGAUAACUAUUGGAAACGAUAGCUAAUACCGCAUAACAAUGGAUGACACAUGUCAUUUAUUUGAAAGGGGCAAUUGCUCCACUACAAGAUGGACCUGCGUUGUAUUAGCUAGAAGGUGAGGUAAUGGCUCACCUAGGCGACGAUACAUAGCCGACCUGAGAGGGUGAUCGGCCACACUGGGACUGAGACACGGCCCAGACUCCUACGGGAGGCAGCAGUAGGGAAUCUUCGGCAAUGGGGGCAACCCUGACCGAGCAACGCCGCGUGAGUGAAGAAGGUUUUCGGAUCGUAAAGCUCUGUUGUAAGUCAAGAACGGGUGUGAGAGUGGAAAGUUCACACUGUGACGGUAGCUUACCAGAAAGGGACGGCUAACUACGUG